UGUAGGGGGCUGGCUGGGAAUGAAACGAAAUUCAGCACGGAAUUCCACAUGCAGAACAGGGUACCCCCGCUGCCAAUAUCUGAAGGAGCUGAGAGGCAGAAGAUAGGGAGGCCUACACCAGCAGGAAAACGAGAAGCCCACACACAAGGCCCCACCAUGGAAAAUGUGCUGUGGUUUAAUGCCAAUGAUUUUCUGUGUUGCCCAUCAUGAAAAGUUCUAUUUACAAUCUGGAAACUACAAUCAUUUGAAUAAUACCUUACGAAGAGGUGGAGUGGAAUGAGAGACACAGAAGGAAUUUAAGAACACCUCAACCUCAGUCACUCAUCUGUUUUUUUGAACUGCAAUCAGCUGUGUCUUUCAGCUGCCUUUGGUUGUUCCAUCGAUUCUGGGAAUUGCUGUUCAAGUGCAUCUAGCUGGAAAUUCUAUGUACAAAAUGUAUUAAUACAAAAAAUGACAAUAUAACAAUAUGUUUAUAUGUAAGAAAAUUUCCUAAGAAGUCCACUAUAGAGUGAUAAGUAAUAAUGUAUUAAAUGCUCUUAAGUUAACUACUUGUCUAGUAACCUAUGGCAACCACCAGGUAGUACAGGUCAAAUAUUUUAAAACAAAUAUCUGAUUGGUUGGGUUACUAGAUGUAGGCAAACUUAAAAAUUUUCAUUACAUUACCAGGUUAGUACAUAGGCCAAGCACCCUCAUUGCUCUAAUUGUAU